rnacentral:tRNA from 1 species
GAAGGGAAUAGGCUCCAGUUGAGGUAGAGUACGACCUUGCCAAGGUCAGGGUCGCGAAGUUCAGUCUCGUUUCGCUCCA